rnacentral:rRNA from 1 species
AUUUUUCGCUGGCGGCAUGCCUUACACAUGCAAGUCGAACGGCAGCACGGAGCUUGCUCUGGUGGCGAGUGGCGAACGGGUGAGUAAUAUAUCGGAACGUACCCUAGAGUGGGGGAUAACGUAGCGAAAGUUACGCUAAUACCGCAUACGAUCUAAGGAUGAAAGUGGGGGAUCGCAUGACCUCAUGCUCGUGGAGCGGCCGAUAUCUGAUUAGCUAGUUGGUAGGGUAAAAGCCUACCAAGGCAUCUAUCAGUAGCUGGUCUGAGAGGACGACCAGCCACACUGGAACUGAGACACGGUCCAGACUCCUACGGGAGGCAGCAGUGGGGAAUUUUGGACAAUGGGCGAAAGCCUGAUCCAGCAAUGCCGCGUGAGUGAAGAAGGCCUUCUGGUUGUAAAGCUCUUUUGUCAGGGAAGAAACGGUGAGAGCUAAUAUCUCUUGCUAAUGACUGUACCUUGAAGAAUAAGCACCGGCUAACUACUUGCUCAACAACCGCGGUAAUACGUAGGGUGCAAGCGUUAAUCGGGAAUUACUGGGCGUAAAGCGUGCGCAAGCGGUUUUGUAAGUCUGAUGUGAAAAUCCCCGGGCUCAACCUGGGAAAUGCCAUGGGAGAUGCCAAAGGCUAGAAUCUGGCAGAGGGGGGUAGAAUUCUCACGUGAACAAGGGAAAUCGGUAGAAUAUGUGGAGAACACCGAUGGGCAAAGGCAGCCCCCUGGGGUCAAGAUUGACGCUCAUGCACGAAAGCGUGGGGAGCAACAGGAUUAGAUACCCUGGUAGUCCACGCCCUAAACGAUGUCUACUAGUUGUCGGGUCUUAAUUGACUUGGUAACGCAGCUAACGCGUGAAGUAGACCGCCUGGGGAGUACGGUCGCAAGAUUAAAACUCAAAGGAAUUGACGGGGACCCGCACAAGCGGUGGAUGAUGUGGAUUAAUUCGAUGCAACGCGAAAAACCUUACCUACCCUUGACAUGGCUGGAAUCCUUGAGAGAUCAGGGAGUGCUCGAAAGAGAACCAGUACACAGGUGCUGCAUGGCUGUCGUCAGCUCGUGUCGUGAGAUGUUGGGUUAAGUCCCGCAACGAGCGCAACCCUUGUCAUUAGUUGCUACGAAAGGGCACUCUAAUGAGACUGCCGGUGACAAACCGGAGGAAGGUGGGGAUGACGUCAAGUCCUCAUGGCCCUUAUGGGUAGGGCUUCACACGUCAUACAAUGGUACAUACAGAGCGCCGCCAACCCGCGAGGGGGAGCUAAUCGCAGAAAGUGUAUCGUAGUCCGGAUUGUAGUCUGCAACUCGACUGCAUGAAGUUGGAAUCGCUAGUAAUCGCGGAUCAGCAUGUCGCGGUGAAUACGUUCCCGGGUCU